UUCAGAGUGUUGUUUUAUUUAUCUCUCUUGCACAUGAGAAAGGUCUCUUCUUCUUCUUCUUCUUCUUCUUCUUCUUCGUUGGGUACAAAUCCUUGUUCUAAUUUGUAUCUAUUUCUCAUCGGUUUCAACAACGUAAUCUGGCCUGAUUGGAUUCGAAAAUGAACCAAAAAACCUCUCAAAUCUCUUCGUUAGGAACAUGAUCGGGAAAGAGCUUGAUGGCCGUAGCUUCACCAUCAUCGAAGAUAAACUCUGUUUUUGGUUCAGAUGUGUUAUGCAUCACUUUGUCUCUUGCUCUUGUUCUUAUGGUUUACUUUUUUUUUUUUUAAUGUAUAAAUCCUUUCAAGUCUUCGUUGCUUGAAGAAAAGAGACAUGUAUCCAUCCGCAAUAAAUUUGAUUUUGAAUGUUACUUUGCUCCACCAGUUCAAUAUGAUUUUAAGAUUAUUUGUCUACAUUCAUAUAUAAAUUCUUGUGUCUACCAUAAUUUUUUGUAAGUGUCAUAGGUACCCAAACUAACUUUAAUCUGCCUAUUGAUGUGCAAGCAGGGAUAAUCAUCUAAAGGAAAGUUACAUGCUGGAUGAAGUUGACAUAUUGAGGAGUAAACCCCAUUGGAGGUGAUAGAGCGAUUUGAACAAAAUUUCUGGAAAGGAAAAUGGAUUCUCUGCAAAGACAAAACAUUGGGGAGAAUAUUGGGUAGCUCGGAGCAAACGAAGGUUAAUUUCUGUGGAUUUUUGUACAUUUAUGUGGAUUAACUUAAUUUUUGUAUUUCUUGUUUUCCUUUCGGUACUUAUAUUCAGGGGACUGCAGCUCUAAAGUGUGUUUUUAAGACGUCAGUUUCCACAUCAACCUCUGCUAGAGGGCUGGAAAGCUUGCCUAGAGAAGAUAUCAGUAGGAAGAUUACCCCUAGUCUUCCUAAGGGCUUUGAUAGUUCUGAUUGAAAGAUGCAUUUGGAUUCAACGGAAGCUGUAACUAAAAUUCUGGUUGUGGCUAAUAAACGUAUCCAACCAACUGUAAUUGGUAUGAGGGAAUUCUAUCUGAUGUUCUGAAAAUUUCGGAGAUAACAAUAAGCGCAUGAGAGAAUGAUUGGUGAUAAGCUUCCUUGGCUUCUCUUGAUUUUUGGCUUGGUGUUGUGCAUAUUUACAAAAUGGCUUGUUGGAUUAAGUGACUAUGUGGAUGCUAUAUGUUUACUGAAACCUGCAAGCACCGCAAUGAUGGUGACUCAUUUAAAAUUGAAAAUCAGCAGAUGUGCGAAAUACAGGUUAAGGAUGCAUUUCUUUGAUCACGAGAGUCAGUAGACAAGAAACUUUAGAUAUCCAAGGCCCAUCACUAGUUUUAUGCUUGAAAAUAAGUAAGACCGGGAAUUUUUGAAGAACCAUUUGAGUGAUCAAGAGCUUUGGCGGAACCAGUGUCGAAAUGUGUUUCAAAGAUUUCAAAAUCGACUUCUAGUUGUACCUUGAAGCAAGGAAACAGAACAAUGCAAGGGAUCAAAAUCGAACUAUGGAAUCGUUUUUCUCGAUAAGUUUGGGAGACAAACAUUUUCUUAUUACUUCAUUUUAAGUUUAGAAAGUCAUCACUCACAUAUCUUGGACUGCGGAAAAUUCUCUAUGAAAUGUGUCGUACUUUGCAUUACAGGUUAGUAUCAUAUGAAGAAAAAGCUACCUUUGCGUUAAAUGUUGUAUUUAGACGUCAGUUCUAUCUUUUUUCUUACAAAUUUAGUUCUUAGCUCAAUUGAGUGAGUUUUUCUACUAAUUCACAAGCACUAGUGAACAAGUUGCAGAUGCAAAGACACGAGUCUUUGCUACGAAGUGCCCUAUUGUUUUCUAUGAAGCAGUUGAACACGGUCGAGAGGGUGUGUGCUGGUUCUGUAAGUUUUCUUUGACUUUCAUUUUAAUCUGAACACAAUGAUGUAUGAAAUCAUGAAUGAUCACAAGACUAAUAAGGUUAUUAGUGAAGGCUUUCUAUGGUUGAUUUUGGCAGUUGAAGACUCUUGUGUCUCGCUUUUGUUACAUAAGAUUUUGAAAGUGAAGGUUUAUAGCUUUACUACUUAGAAAUUUUCAGCCCCUGGUUUCUAACUUUUUGACAAAAGAGCUUUUUCUGUUCAUUUGAGAGGAUUUGAUACAUGUUAGUAUGGAUGUUGGGCUACACUAUGCCACCAGAAAUGCUACAAUCAAAAUUUUGAGUGCCUAACACAAGUUUGUUAGUUCAGAAAGGGUUUCUUAAACCUGCACUACUAAUUCCCACUUGAUGCUGAUAUGAGAAAAACCCUUUCGAGGUACAUUUGUGUGGAUUGUCUUAAUUUUUGGAUUUUUUUGUUUUUUUUGCUGUACUUAUCAGGGGACUGUUUAUUAAUCAAAUAUUCGGUUCAGGAGAAUGG